CGGCGGACGGGUGAGUAACACGUGGAUAACCUACCUAUAAGACUGGGAUAACUUCGGGAAACCGGAGCUAAUACCGGAUAAUAUUUUGAACCGCAUGGUUCAAAAGUGAAAGACGGUCUUGCUGUCACUUAUAGAUGGAUCCGCGCUGCAUUAGCUAGUUGGUAAGGUAACGGCUUACCAAGGCAACGAUGCAUAGCCGACCUGAGAGGGUGAUCGGCCACACUGGAACUGAGACACGGUCCAGACUCCUACGGGAGGCAGCAGUAGGGAAUCUUCCGCAAUGGGCGAAAGCCUGACGGAGCAACGCCGCGUGAGUGAUGAAGGUCUUCGGAUCGUAAAACUCUGUUAUUAGGGAAGAACAUAUGUGUAAGUAACUGUGCACAUCUUGACGGUACCUAAUCAGAAAGCCACGGCUAACUACGUGCCAGCAGCCGCGGUAAUACGUAGGUGGCAAGCGUUAUCCGGAAUUAUUGGGCGUAAAGCGCGCGUAGGCGGUUUUUUAAGUCUGAUGUGAAAGCCCACGGCUCAACCGUGGAGGGUCAUUGGAAACUGGAAAACUUGAGUGCAGAAGAGGAAAGUGGAAUUCCAUGUGUAGCGGUGAAAUGCGCAGAGAUAUGGAGGAACACCAGUGGCGAAGGCGACUUUCUGGUCUGUAACUGACGCUGAUGUGCGAAAGCGUGGGGAUCAAACAGGAUUAGAUACCCUGGUAGUCCACGCCGUAAACGAUGAGUGCUAAGUGUUAGGGGGUUUCCGCCCCUUAGUGCUGCAGCUAACGCAUUAAGCACUCCGCCUGGGGAGUACGACCGCAAGGUUGAAACUCAAAGGAAUUGACGGGGACCCGCACAAGCGGUGGAGCAUGUGGUUUAAUUCGAAGCAACGCGAAGAACCUUACCAAAUCUUGACAUCCUUUGACAACUCUAGAGAUAGAGCCUUCCCCUUCGGGGGACAAAGUGACAGGUGGUGCAUGGUUGUCGUCAGCUCGUGUCGUGAGAUGUUGGGUUAAGUCCCGCAACGAGCGCAACCCUUAAGCUUAGUUGCCAUCAUUAAGUUGGGCACUCUAAGUUGACUGCCGGUGACAAACCGGAGGAAGGUGGGGAUGACGUCAAAUCAUCAUGCCCCUUAUGAUUUGGGCUACACACGUGCUACAAUGGACAAUACAAAGGGCAGCGAAACCGCGAGGUCAAGCAAAUCCCAUAAAGUUGUUCUCAGUUCGGAUUGUAGUCUGCAACUCGACUACAUGAAGCUGGAAUCGCUAGUAAUCGUAGAUCAGCAUGCUACGGUGAAUACGUUCCCGGGUCUUGUACACACCGCCCGUCACACCACGAGAGUUUGUAACACCCGAAGCCGGUGGAGUAACCUUUUAGGAGCUAGCCGUCGAAGGUGGGACAAAUGAUUGGGGUGAAGUCGUAACAAGGUAGCCGUAUCGGAAGGUGCGGCUGGAUCACCUCCUUU
rnacentral:rRNA from 1 species